ACAUAUUUAUGUGAGAAGACCUUAGCUUAUAAUAAGAAUAGAUACAGAUCGCGGAACGGUAUUUUUUCCCAUCAAGAAGAAUUAAAACACGACAUUGUUUUUGAUCUAUUGCUUUGGAAAUAACAAAAGUAGCCUCACACUUCGCAAAAUAACUCACAAGCUAAACACCAGAAUGUCAUGGAAUUUUAAGACCUGUAUUUUUAAGGACUUACCUGUAGGAAUGAUAGCAGGAUCUCACUUUCAAACCCGCAUUAACAAAGGAGACUAAGGACUCGUCCUCACAAAUGGUGAGAAUGGCUUUAAGUAGUAAUAGCUCCGCAUAACAAAUCUCUGCAUGUAACUCGAUUUCCGUAUAAGCAUUGGGAUCCUCCUUUCCGAGCAUUUUACCGAGGCUAUCCACUAAACUGCUCUUUUUAUUUCUGAAGGAAUUAAUUGUUUCACAAGUACUUGAAAGUACAUCAGAAGCAUCUUCAAUAUGGCUCUAAAUAGUCGGAUAUAAUAAAGAUAUCGAACGAUACUGAUUUUGAGGCCAAUAUUAAUAUUGUUGAUGAUAAAAAAGCGAUAACCAGCAAACAGGCCAACCUUCUUCUUUUUUUAAAUUAUAUUAACGGCCAAGGUAAGUUUAUUUUCCAUCAUUUUUUAUUUGAAAUAACUGGUAUCUUUUC
rnacentral:lncRNA from 1 species